ACAAACUUGGUCAUUUAGAGGAAGUAAAAGUCGUAACAAGGUUUCCGUAGGUGAACCUGCGGAAGGAUCAUCAAUGAACUUUGCAACCCACUGAACUUUUGUGGGCCAGGGGGGGGGGUGCGGUGCUGCUGCUCCGCCCGCUUUGCCUGCCCACAAUAGUUUGUGAUAAUACUUGUUUGAACUUGGGAAUAGCCGCCUUAGCGUGGUGUUGGGGGUUGGUUAGUUAGUGGGUUAGUGUGGGGUUAGGCCAUCCUUGGCACUCGUUUUGGUGCUAUUUUACCACUAAAAAACAGUGUUGAAAAAAGCGUUGAAAAUAAAAAAGUGCGGGAAAAAUUACAACUUUUAACAAUGGAUCUCUUGGCUCUUGCAUCGAUGAAGAACGCAGC
rnacentral:misc_RNA from 1 species